UCAGUUGCCAAUCGCCACUCAGGCCAAAAGCGCAGAAGAACAAAAAUGACCGGGAAAAUCUGACAGGACUGAGAAGAUGACAACAGCACAGCGGGGUUUUAGAAGCCCAUCAGAGUGAUUUUCUGAGUUCUUUCACAUAUGCUGUAUGGUCAGCGAAUGGAUGGAUUAUCCAGUCACGGUACAUAAUAAAAGACUUGACUGAGUUAGAAGAAGCUGAGCGACUCUUCAGAGUGAAGAUGUUAUGAUGCAGUUAUGUCAAAGCACUCGUUUCGGAUGGCCAGAUUGGAACAGAACCUGAAUGGGAAGAUGGCAGAGCUAAGACUGGCAAUUUCCAGGAAAAAUGUUUACUAAAAAUGAGUGUGUUUUUCCCCAGCGAGAGAGUUUGGGAAUGUUUUAAAUGUGUCUAGAAGUUUGAAAAUGUAAUACUGAGGGAAAAAAGUGAGCGCUUUGAAAAGGCUUUAAAAAGAAAAAAAAGUCUGAAGUUGAUGUGAAAUGAAGUUAAAGUUUUUACUUGAAAAGUUUGUACUGUACUUGUUUGUACUUGUCAAGUCUGUGCUGAAAAAAAUGCAGUAAAGGUUGUAUUUGAAAAGA